rnacentral:rRNA from 1 species
UACGUAGGGUGCGAGCGUUGUCCGGAAUUAUUGGGCGUAAAGAGCUUGUAGGCGGUUUGUCGCGUCUGCUGUGAAAAUCCGGGGCUCAACCCCGGACUUGCAGUGGGUACGGGCAGACUAGAGUGUGGUAGGGGAGACUGGAAUUCCUGGUGUAGCGGUGAAAUGCGCAGAUAUCAGGAGGAACACCGAUGGCGAAGGCAGGUCUCUGGGCCACUACUGACGCUGAGAAGUGAAAGCAUGGGGAGCGAACAGG